GCCUUCGUGGUGUUGUGGUCAGCAUGCUCGGUGCGUAUUCGAGAGUUCGGAGGUUCGAAUCCCGGCGAGGGCA
rfam:Stegodyphus mimosarum contig82745, whole genome shotgun sequence.